rnacentral:tRNA from 1 species
GCUGUUGUAGCUCAGGGGUAGAGCAUGGCGCGAGGCGCGCCAAGGUCGAGGGUUCAAUUCCCUUCAACAUUG